GCUUGUCUGAUGAGCCAGUGUUUGUCCUGAAAAGUGGUUCAAACGCUGUCAGAUAAGCAAAAAUAAACACCCAGUCAGUAUAUUGAAGACACUUGAGGUUUGUACCUUCCCAUGUAUGUUGAAGUUGGGGUCUCGUGGAGCUUUGAGGUCAGGAAAACUGCUGUCGUACUGCGGAGCGGCCGUCCAGGGCGAGUGUGGCGCCGGUGUGGACACCAUCAUGAAGAAAGGCCUGCGGUUUGACUUGUUUUCCAGGAAGUCGAUGGAAACAUUGGCCUGGAUGGAAUCAGACAUGGAUGAGCCACUAACUCGGGUAGAUCAUUCGCUGUUCUGUAAUUUCAUGAACACAAGAUCUGCUCCUACCAGGACAUCUGUAAGUUUUCUUACCAGGGCGAAC
rnacentral:lncRNA from 1 species